ensembl:lncRNA
GUUUAUAGCAACCUCUGCCCAUAACUGUUACCUGCCACAAAAAUUAGGAGCCAGUCUGUACCAAGAUGAGAUACCUACAGUUCAAGAAGUCCUGCAUGCCAAAGAACAUGUCAACAGGCAUAGAGAAACUCAAGCUGGUUGCUUCCAUCUGACUCCCCUUCCAUUGCUAAUACAUCCUCCAAUGCCAAAGACCAGAAGACCUCUGCUAGGAACACUUCCGAAUAGCAAAAGUAGUCUGCCUCCUUCCAGCACCCCUCUUCCACCAAAAUUUCUCUCUUCUCUCCUGGCCGUGAAGAUCCUAUCCUCUGCUUCAUACUCCAGUGCCAAGCCCCAGUGAACCAAGGUUGAGAAGACGUAGUAGGUUUCCAAGGACAUCAAAGCUUACCCAGUGCUUGGUUCACUAGUAUGGGAGUGGCUGAGAGAACAAUCAUGGAAUUCUGCCUUUCACCUUGGAAACAGAAUAUUACAGACCAUGUAAAGCCAAAUGAACAGAGGGAAUCAAAGGAAAUGCAUCCCGUGCUGUCCCUUUAAAUGGGUCUGACUUACCUGUGCCCCACAGAGGGCAAGGAAAGCACACAACUGGCAGCAACAUACCUCAAGAUUUUCCUGUAAUGUCCUCUCACAUGCUUGCUAAUGACAUUUACUUAGAUCCUCCUCUUUGUUUCUGGAUUCUCAUUCAAUUACAUUGAGCACCACAUCAUGUCCUUCCAUUGCCCCCCGCUACCCGCACAUACACCACCUGCCUCCAUCUUUCAGGUCAUAGGGACUUAAAAAAGUUGGGCUGGCCUUGCUCUUCCCUCCUAAGCUUUUUUGUCACAGGUAGAAAUUGAAAAUAUAGAACUUUAAGACUAUGCUUAGUAUGAGCAAGAUUCUUCCUGCCCAGUUUAAUAUCUUAGAUUCAGGGUAGUUUUGUAUUGUGUCUAUGAAUUCCAGGAAAGACCUAAACCACAAAGGAACUAAUUUCCUCAUAUCCAGGAAGGCUAAGCUCUCUUAUGGCCGCAAUUAAAAUCCAUCUGUGUUCCUCUAUUAAUGUGGAUCCAGUGUGUAGGACUCCUUGAAAUAACUUUACACUAUCCAAGGCUGGCACUUGGCACAGCCAAAGAGGCUCAUUGAUUGAACGAGCCUGAAUCUCCAGCUAGAUCUGGAUAACAAACCUCUUCUGUCUCCAGGCUGGACUUCCAACUUCUCUGAUUAUUUUCCAGAUCCCUGACACAAGAAAUGCACAGGAGAAUGGAGAGACACAUAGAUUUAAGGAAAAGAUGUCAACUGGGGAGGCGGAUAGUCAGGACUGCCAGUGUGUCAGUGCCUCCUGUCCCUGACUAUCCCCGGUACAGUCAUCACCCCCGACAAUGUGAAGGCAACUGCCCUACAACUCACAGAAGAAGAAGAAGAAGAAAGAAUGGCCAAUAAACGUGUGAAAAUAUAUCAAAUUCAUUAGUAAUCGGGCAAAUAAAACAUCAGUGACGUACCAUUUCAUAUCCAUCAGAUUGGCAAAAAUUUUGAAGUCUGAUGACACUAAGUAGGGGAAACAAGAACUUUCAGCCCCUGCUGGGGGACGUGUAAAUUAAUAGAACCACAUCAGAGAGCAACUUGUCAAUCUUGAAUGAAGUGGAAGAUUUAUGAUAUUCUAUGACCCAGAAAUUCUGCCUCUACGUAUAUCCCUAGAGAAACUCUCCCACAUGUAUUUCAAGGAUGUUAUUUGAAGUGUUGUGUUAUAAUAGGGAAAAAUUAGAAACAUAGGUGUACAUUAAUAAGAGAAUGGAUAAAUAAAUUCACAUAUAUUCAAACGAUGCCAUACUGUGUAGCAGUGAAGUCAAUAAACUUGAUAUAUCAACAUAGAUAGAUUCCAAAAACAAAAUGUUCAGCGAGAAAAGCAAGUUGGGGAUGAGAUGCCAUAUAGUAUGACAAC